rnacentral:rRNA from 1 species
AACGUAGGAGACAAACGUUAUCCGGAAUUACUGGGCGUAAAGCGUGCGCAGGCGGUUCGUUAAGUUCGUCGUGAAAGCCCCGGGCUCAACCUGGGAAUGGCGAUGGAAACUGGCGGGCUGGAGUGUGGCAGAGGGGGGUGGAAUUCCGCGUGUAGCAGUGAAAUGCGUAGAUAUGCGGAGGAACACCGAUGGCGAAGGCAAUCCCGUGGGCCUGCACUGACGCUCAUGCACGAAAGCGUGGGGAGCAAACAGG